CCCAAUGACGUCUCUAGAAGGCAUCUGAAAGAGAUUAAAGAUUUAUCGGUGAUGGAUGGGGAUGCGUCUGAUUAGCUUGUUGGCGGGGUAACGGCCCACCAAGGCAACGAUCAGUAGGGGUUCUGAGAGGAAGGUCCCCCACAUUGGAACUGAGACACGGUCCAAACUCCUACGGGAGGCAGCAGUGAGGAAUAUUGGUCAAUGGACGAGAGUCUGAACCAGCCAAGUAGCGUGCAGGAAGACGGCCCUAUGGGUUGUAAACUGCUUUUAUAAGGGAAUAAAGUGAGUCUCGUGAGACUUUUUGCAUGUACCUUAUGAAUAAGGACCGGCUAAUUCCGUGCCAGCAGCCGCGGUAAUACGGAAGGUCCGGGCGUUAUCCGGAUUUAUUGGGUUUAAAGGGAGCGUAGGCCGGAGAUUAAGCGUGUUGUGAAAUGUAGACGCUCAACGUCUGCACUGCAGCGCGAACUGGUUUCCUUGAGUACGCACAAAGUGGGCGGAAUUCGUGGUGUAGCGGUGAAAUGCUUAGAUAUCACGAAGAACUCCGAUCGCGAAGGCAGCUCACUGGAGCGCAACUGACGCUGAAGCUCGAAAGUGCGGGUAUCGAACAGGAUUAGAUACCCUGGUAGUCCGCACGGU
rnacentral:rRNA from 1 species